CAUAUUGCACAAUGGGGGAAACGCUGAUGCAGCGACGCCGCGCGAGCGAAGCAGGCACUCGGGUCGUAGAGCUCUGUCCUCAGGGAAGAAGCGGGCGGUACCUUAGGAGGAAGCCCCGGCUAACUACGUGGCAGCGGCCGCGGUAAUACGUAGGGGGCGAGCGUUAUCCGGAAUUACUGGGCGUAAAGGGUGCUUAGGCGUCCUUUUAAGCCAGAUGUGAAAGGCUACGGCUUAACCGUAGUUAGCAUUUGAAACUAAAAGGCUUGAGUGCAGGAGAGGAGAGUGGAAUUCCUAGUGUAGCGGUGAAAUGCGUAGAUAUUAGGAGGAACACCAGUGGCGAAGGCGACUCUCUGGUCUGUAACUGACGCUGAGGCGCGAAAGCGUGGGGAUCAAACA
rnacentral:rRNA from 1 species